rnacentral:rRNA from 1 species
UACGAAGGGGGCUAGCGUUGUUCGGAAUCACUGGGCGUAAAGCGCACGUAGGCGGCUUUCUAAGUCAGGGGUGAAAUCCUGGAGCUCAACUCCAGAACUGCCUUUGAUACUGAGGAGCUUGAGUCCGGGAGAGGUGAGUGGAACUGCGAGUGUAGAGGUGAAAUUCGUAGAUAUUCGCAAGAACACCAGUGGCGAAGGCGGCUCACUGGCCCGAUACUGACGCUGAGGCACGAAAGCGUGGGGAGCAAACAGG